CUACCCUUGACAUGCCAGGAACUUACCAGAGAUGGUUUGGUGCUCGAAAGAGAGCCUGGACACAGGUGCUGCAUGGCCGUCGUCAGCUCGUGUCGUGAGAUGUUGGGUUAAGUCCCGCAACGAGCGCAACCCUUGUCAUUAGUUGCUACAUUCAGUUGGGCACUCUAAUGAGACUGCCGGUGACAAACCGGAGGAAGGUGGGGAUGACGUCAGGUCAUCAUGGCCCUUAUGGGUAGGGCUACACACGUCAUACAAUGGCCGAUACAGAGGGCUGCCAACCCGCGAGGGGGAGCCAAUCCCAGAAAACCGGUCGUAGUCCGGAUCGCAGUCUGCAACUCGACUGCGUGAAGUCGGAAUCGCUAGUAAUCGUGG
rnacentral:rRNA from 1 species